CCCUUAGAUGUUCUGGGCCGCACGCGCGCUACACUGAUACAUGCAACGAGUUUAUAACCUUGAUCUGACGGUCUGGGUAAUCUUCAAACUGUAUCGUGUUAGGGAUCGAUUCUUGCAAUUUUUAAUCGUAAACGAGGAAUUCCUAGUAAACGCAAGUCAUCAGCUUGCAUUGAUUACGUCCCUGCCCUUUGUACACACCGCCCGUCGACUCUACCGAUUGAAUGGUUCGGUGAAAACUUUGGACUGUGGCAUUGUCCUUCAUUGGACUUCGCCGUAGGAAAUUGUUUAAACCUCACCAUUUAGAGGAAGAAUAAGUCGUAACA
rnacentral:rRNA from 1 species